AGUCUAAGCAUAACCCCUUGAAUGGGAAAGCCGCAGACGGCUCAUUACAACAGCUAAAAUUUAUUAGAUAGUAAACCUCAUGUGGAUAACUCCACAAAAGGUGGAGCUAAUACAUGCAACUAAGCUCGGACUCACGAACGAGCGCAUUUAUUAGAAUCAACCAAUCGGGCUCACGUCCGUUGUUUGGUGAAUCUGACUAAAACUGUCGAUCGCACGGUCUCGUACCGGCGACAAAUCUUUCAAAUGUCUGCUUUAUCAACUUUCGAUGGUAGUUUAUACGCCUACCAUGGUUGUAACGGAUAACGGAGAAUAAGGGUUCGACUCCGGAGAGGGAGCCUGAGAAACGGCUACCACAUCCAAGGAAGGCAGCAGGCACGCAAAUUACCCACUCCCGGCACGGGGAGGUAGUGACGAAAAAUAACGAGGCAGUUCUCUAUGAGGUCUGCCAUCGGAAUGGGAACAAUUUAAAUCCUUUAUCGAGGAUCUAUUGGAGGGCGAGUCUGGUGCCAGCAGCCGCGGUAAUUCCAGCUCCAAUAGCGUAUAUUAAAAUUGUUGCGGUUAAAAAGCUCGUAGUUGAAUCUGCGUUCAAGAGUGACGGUCCGCCGACGGCUGGUACUGUCAACUCUGAACUACACAAUUCAGUUAUCUCUUGAUGCUCUUAACCGGGUGUCUCGAGCGACUGAAACGUUUACUUUGAAAAAAUUAGAGUGCUUAAAGCAGGCUUUCAGCCUGAAUAGUGGUGCAUGGAAUAAUAGAAGAGGAUCUUGAUUCUAUUCUAUUGGUAAUGAAUUGAGAUAAUGAUGAAUGGGGAUAGACGUGGGUAUUUGUAUUGCGACGUUAGAGGUGAAAUUCUUGGAUCGUCGCAAGACAAACUAAAGCGAAGGCAUUUACCAAGAAUAUGCCCUUCAAUCAAGAACGAAAGCGAGAGGCGCGAACGCGAUCAGAUACCGCGGUAGUUCUCGCCGUAAACGAUGCCAUCUAGCGAUCCGCCGGAGUUAAUAGAUGACUCGGCGGGGAGCUUCCGGGAAACCAAAGAUCUUGGGUUCCGGGGAAAGUAUGGUUGCAAAGCUGAAACUUAAAGGAAUUGACGGAAGGGCACCACCAGGAGUGGAGCCUGCGGCUUAAUUUGACUCAACACGGGGAAACUCACCCGGCCCGGACACUGUAAGGAUUGACAGAUUGAUAGCUCUUUCUUGAUUCGGUGGUUGGUGGUGCAUGGCCGUUCUUAGUUGGUGGAGCGAUUUGUCUGGUUAAUUCCGAUAACGAACGAGACUCUAACCUACUAAAUAGAUGGUUGAUCUUUGGUCAACCAGACUUCUUAGAGGGACAAGCAGCAAUUAGCUGCAUGAGAAAGAGCAAUAACAGGUCUGUGAUGCCCUUAGAUGUCCGGGGCUGCACGCGCGCUACACUGAAGGAAUCAACAUGCCUCAUACCUAGCUCGAAAGAGUCAGGUAACCCGUUGAAACUCCUUCGUGAUAGGGAUAGGGACUUGCAAUUAUGGUCCUUGAACGAGGAAUUCCCAGUAAGUGUGGGUCAUCAGCUCGCGCUGAUUACGUCCCUGCCCUUUGUACACACCGCCCGUCGCUACUACCGAUUGGAUGACGGUAAGAGCCGUUCGGACUGAUGUCGAUGCGGUUUCACGACUGCGUCGAACUGUCGGAAAGAUCGGCGAUUAUCAUCAUCUAGAGGAAGU
rnacentral:rRNA from 1 species